GACGAACGCUGGCGGCGUGCCUAAUACAUGCAAGUUGAGCGAUGAAGAUUGGUGCUUGCACCAAUUUGAAGAGCAGCGAACGGGUGAGUAACGCGUGGGGAAUCUGCCUUUGAGCGGGGGACAACAUUUGGAAACGAAUGCUAAUACCGCAUAACAACUUUAAACAUAAGUUUUAAGUUUGAAAGAUGCAAUUGCAUCACUCAAAGAUGAUCCCGCGUUGUAUUAGCUAGUUGGUGAGGUAAAGGCUCACCAAGGCGAUGAUACAUAGCCGACCUGAGAGGGUGAUCGGCCACAUUGGGACUGAGACACGGCCCAAACUCCUACGGGAGGCAGCAGUAGGGAAUCUUCGGCAAUGGACGAAGGUCUGACCGAGCAACGCCGCGGGAGUGAAGAAGGUUUUCGGAUCGUAAAACUCUGUUGGUAGAGAAGAACGUUGGUGAGAGUGGAAAGCUCAUCAAGUGACGGUAACUACCCAGAAAGGGACGGCUAACUACGUG
rnacentral:rRNA from 1 species